rnacentral:rRNA from 1 species
UACGGGGGGGGCAAGCGUUGUUCGGAAUUACUGGGCGUAAAGGGCUCGUAGGUGGCCCAACUAAGUCAGACGUGAAAUCCCUCGGCUUAACCGGGGAACUGCGUCUGAUACUGGAUGGCUUGAGUUCGGGAGAGGGAUGCGGAAUUCCGAGGUGUAGCGGUGAAAUGCGUAGAUAUCUGGAGGAACACCGGUGGCGAAGGCGGCAUCCUGGACCGACACUGACACGUGAGG